rnacentral:misc_RNA from 1 species
UUUUUUUUUUUUUUUAUAAUUUUAGUUUUCUACAUUUUAUUAGAUAUUUAGGCCAAAAGUCACAUCUAAGGGUGAAUUAACCAAAUUGCCCCUUACCGGUCUGAUUCCUUAUUCCAAUAGUGCUAAAUUGUCUCCGGAACCCUAAUUUUAUUUUUUGAGCUUGUUCUCAAUUAUUUUCUAUGGUUUUCAUAGUUUCACUAGCUUCGCAAUAAUUCUUAGGCCUGGGGUGUCAUGAGGUCUUACUCGAAAAUUCGGCAGCGACUGACCUCGCAGUCACU